rnacentral:rRNA from 1 species
AAGUCGUAACAAGGUCUCCGUUGGUGAACCAGCGGAGGGAUCAUUACCGAGUUUACAACUCCCAAACCCCUGUGAACAUACCACUUAUUGCCUCGGCGGAUCAGCCCGCUCCCGGUAAAACGGGACGGCCCGCCAGAGGACCCCUAAACUCUGUUUCUAUAUGUAACUUCUGAGUAAAACCAUAAAUAAAUCAAAACUUUCAACAACGGAUCUCUUGGUUCUGGCAUCGAUGAAGAACGCAGCGAAAUGCGAUACGUAAUGUGAAUUGCAGAAUUCAGUGAAUCAUCGAAUCUUUGAACGCACAUUGCGCCCAUUAGUACUCUAGUGGGCAUGCCUGUUCGAGCGUCAUUUCAACCCUUAAGCCUAGCUUAGUGUUGGCUGCCUACUGUAUUGUAGUGGCCCAAAUCCAACGGCGGAUCUGUGGUAUCCUCUGAGCGUAGUAAUUUUUAUCUCGCUUUUGUUAGGUGCUGCAGCUCCCAGCCGCUAAACCCCCCAAUUUUUAAUGGUUGACCUCGGAUCAGGUAGGAAUACCCGCUGAACCUAA